rnacentral:lncRNA from 10 species
GCGCAGGGAGCUGGAAGAACACGCAAGAGACAGUAGAUGGUCUGAGAGUACCUGUGCUGAAAUGGAAUUGUCUUUGAGUGGACACUUCUUAGAUGAGACCUAUUGUGGCCAAUAGCUCCUGAGGAACUGAAGCCUUCAGUUCAAAACUUGUGUGAGAAAAAUGAAUCUUGCCAACUACUGGAGUGAGCUUAGAAAUGAAUCCAUCCCCAGUUGACCCUUGAAUGUAGCCUUGUCAGAGACCCAGAGACAAAGCAUCCUGCUAAUCUGCACUGGGUUCUAGGCCCACAGAAACCAUGGGAUAAUAACUUUGUGUUGCUAUAAGCCACUGAAAACAAACAAAUAAAAUACUUAAGAUGUUCCCCUGUGGAAGGGUUCCAUUGCCAGGGAUCUGCACUUCACAACCAAAGGGAUUAAAG